CAGUGUGUUGACACUAUUGCGCCGAUUUCGCCUCUUCAGGCAGCUUAACGCAGUGGUUUUCUCAGAGUUGCUUUGCCGAUUCAUACGACUGCAAGAAUGAUAGAAUACAAGGUGGUGUUACUAGAACAGCUGAUUGGAUAUUUUCCACAACUUUAUAUAGACGCGCCUUGACUAUAAUUUUGGCGGACAUUUACUGGCAAAUUGGCACAUUUUCAUCUUGCUUAUUCCUGGACAUUUUACAAGAGCUUAUUCAUCCAAGCGUCGCUGUGAGUUCCACGAGCGUUUCACUGCAUUUUCAUCUACUAAUCACUAAUUUUGCGUAUUCCUGCACAUUUUACAAGAGCUUAUUCAUCCAAGAGUCGCUGUGAGUUCCACGAGCGUUUCACUGCAUUUUCAUCUACUAAUCACUAAUUUUGCGUAUUCCUGCACAUUUUACAAGAGCUUAUUCAUCCAAGCGUCGCUGUGAGCUCCACGAGCGUUUCACUGCAUUUUCAUCAUGCCAAAUAAAAAGAGCGAAUUAUGGCUGCACUUCUCCGAUGAGAAAGACAAAAAAGUAAAAUGUAAUCUAUGUGGUCAGCAGAUA